AUGUAUAACUUAAAAAAUGAAAAUUACAAAACAUACGACAUUUUUGUAGUUACAUAUAGUCAUUUAUUUUUUUUUUUUAGUUAACACUGAAAACCUUGGAAUUUAAAAGUAAAAAUGAAAUAUAUUAUUAUUUAGAGUUUUUCUUUAUGUUCGUUAAAGGGUAGUGAUGAUAAUCAUAAACUUAUAUAAACUAAUAGUUCAAGAGCCUAGAUUAAAAAUUUUUAUAUAUAACUACUCUAAAAAAAAAAAAAAAAAAAAAAAAAAAAAAAAAAUUAUAUGUUAUAAAGUCAGAGAAUUUAUUUUUUUUUAGUUUUUAUACAUAAUUCAACUGUUAGAAUAUAAAUAAAAAAUUAUAAAUUAUAUGCAUAAUUUUUUUUUUUCAAUUUAAAUUUUUAUGUUAUAAAUAAAUUUAAUAUAACAUGAGUUUGUAUAAUUUUUAUAAUAAUUUGAUCCAUGAUGAAAUUGAUCAAUUAUUUAUAAAACAUAAUAUAAAUUUUAUUAAUUGUUCUAUUAAAAUAUAUAUAUAAAUAAUUAUUUAUUAAAACUCACAACAAAGAUGUUCUCUUUAAUUUUUAUUUUAUUUAAUUAUUUAUUUUUUUUAUAUAUUUACCGAACAAAUAACCAAAUAAAAUGUUAUACAAAAAUACAUUGGAGUGUUGCUUUAAGCAUAUUUUUGAUUAGAUUGAGCAUUACAGAGCGCUUAGAUAAUUAUAUGAAUGAUCAAGUGAUAACUGCCAACAUUAGAGGUAGAAUGUUAGGACAAAUGCAUAGGAAUAACGAAAGUUCGGCGUCACUAAAAACUGUAAAAAAAAAACAGAUAUGUAAUGACAAUGAAAUUAAAGCAGAUGAAGUUUCAGAUGAACAUUAUGAAAAAGUAUUUAUGGAAAUGAUAUCCAAUAUUUAUAAUAAUAGUUAUAAUCAAUUUUUUGACAAUUAUAAUAAACAAUAUAUGAGUGGACAUACAAGUGUUAUGCCAAAAAAAAAAACAGUUUAUAUGUGGGAUUUUGAAUCCAAUAAUUUGGUUGAAGUUGAUAUAAACAGCGACCAGAGAUCACAUAAUUCUAAAUAUCGUGAAGAAUUUGUGAAUCCUGUUAAUAUGUUUGAUAAUAUAAUGCACCAAUAUAAAGAGUAUGAAGAUAAUUUAGUGGGGUUAAUACAAAAUUUGAAUGAUGUAGUUGAUGCAAAUACUAUGAUAACUGUAUUUAAUUAUGUUAUUAUUAUGCAGAAAAAUAAUUACAUUAUACUACUUAAGAGUAUUUUUCAAUAUUUCAGUAUACUGUGUGAAAAAUAUCAUAUACCGGAGUAUUAUAAACAAAGACAAUUUAUAAAAGUAUAUGAUAAAAUAACGCGUGAUAUAUUGCAUUUAGAACAGGAGUGUCUUAAGUAUUUAGCAUGUAUGGUUGGAGAUAAAUCGAUCAAACGUAGUACAUAUCAAUCAUUGUUAAAUGAAGUUAUAAAAAAGUUUAAUGAAUUAAUAAGAUAUUGGGCAAACCAUUCUAUAAAAUAUUUUGAAUGUAAGAUUAAAAAGUAUGCGAAAAUGACAAAGAGAGGAAUUGCUAAUUGAAGUGAAGAACAUAAAUAAUGUCCACAUACACAUAUAUAUAUGUAUAUAUAUUUAUUUAUUUAUCAUUUUUAUUUAUUAUUAUUUAUUAUUAUUUGAUUUAUAUGUUUUUCUUGUAAAAUUUUAGUUUUUUUAAAUUUUAAUUUGACAUAUGUAUUUAAUGCAAUUAAAUUAAAGUUUGUUUAUUAUCAUAAAUAUGCUUUUACCUUUUUAUUUUUAUUGUUGCACUAAACAAUAACAUUUGUCAUUAGUUGUCAUAUAUUUAUAUAUAUAUAUAUAUAUAUUGCUCUUGCAUAAAUAAUAAAAUUUGUUUAGAUAUAUGUACUAUACUAUGU
ensembl:lncRNA